UACGUAGGGGGCAAGCGUUGUCCGGAAUCAUUGGGCGUAAAGCGCGUGUAGGCGGCUCGGUAAGUCCGCUCUGAAAGUCCAGGGCUCAACCCUGGGAUGCGGGUGGAUACUGCCGAGCUCGAGUCCGGAAGAGGCGAGUGGAAUUCCCGGUGUAGCGGUGAAAUGCGCAGAUAUCGGGAGGAACACCUAUGGCGAAGGCAGCUCGCUGGGACGUGACUGACGCUGAGACGCGAAAGCGUGGGGAGCAAACAGG
rnacentral:rRNA from 1 species